rnacentral:rRNA from 1 species
AGCCGAGCGGUAUGGAUAGCUUGCUAUCCAGAGAGCGGCGUACGGGUGCGUAACACGUGUGCAACCUGCCUUUAUCUGGGGGAUAGCCUUUCGAAAGGAAGAUUAAUACCCCAUAAUAUGGUGUCCGGCAUCGGUCGCCAUUGAAAGCCUCGGCGGAUAGAGAUGGGCACGCGCAAGAUUAGAUAGUUGGCGGGGUAACGGCCCACCAAGUCGAUGAUCUUUAGGGGUCCUGAGAGGGAGAUCCCCCACACUGGUACUGAGACACGGACCAGACUCCUACGGGAGGCAGCAGUGAGGAAUAUUGGACAAUGGGUGGAAGCCUGAUCCAGCCAUCCCGCGUGAAGGAUGACGGUUCUAUGGAUUGUAAACUUCUUUUGUACAGGGAUAAACCUGCCCUCGUGAGGGCAGCUGAAGGUACUGUACGAAUAAGCACCGGCUAACUCCGUGCCAGCAGCCGCGGUAAUACGGAGGGUGCGAGCGUUAUCCGGAUUUAUUGGGUUUAAAGGGUCCGUAGGCGGGCCUGUAAGUCAGUGGUGAAAUCUCAUAGCUUAACUAUGAAACUGCCAUUGAUACUGCAGGCCUUGAGUAAAUUUGAAGUGGCUGGAAUAAGUAGUGUAGCGGUGAAAUGCAUAGAUAUUACUUAGAACACCGAUUGCGAAGGCAGGUCACUAAGAUUUAACUGACGCUGAUGGACGAAAGCGUGGGGAGCGAACAGGAUUAGAUACCCUGGUAGUCCACGCCGUAAACGAUGCUAACUCGUUUUUGGAUCUUCGGGUUCAGAGACCAAGCGAAAGUGAUAAGUUAGCCACCUGGGGAGUACGUCCGCAAGGAUGAAACUCAAAGGAAUUGACGGGGGCCCGCACAAGCGGUGGAUUAUGUGGUUUAAUUCGAUGAUACGCGAGGAACCUUACCAAGACUUAAAUGGGAAUUGACAGAUUUAGAAAUAGAUCCUCCUUCGGGCAAUUUUCAAGGUGCUGCAUGGUUGUCGUCAGCUCGUGCCGUGAGGUGUUAGGUUAAGUCCUGCAACGAGCGCAACCCCUGCCAACAGUUGCCAUCAUUCAGUUGGGGACUCUGUUGGGACUGCCUACGCAAGUAGAGAGGAAGGUGGGGAUGACGUCAAAUCAUCACGGCCCUUACGUCUUGGGCCACACACGUAAUACAAUGGCCGGUACAGAGGGCAGCUACCUGGUGACAGGAUGCGAAUCUCGAAAGCCGGUCUCAGUUCGGAUUGGAGUCUGCAACUCGACUCUAUGAAGCUGGAAUCGCUAGUAAUCGCGCAUCAGCCAUGGCGCGGUGAAUACGUUCCCGGGCCUUGUACACACCGCCCGUCAAGCCAUGGAAGUCUGGGGUACCUGAAGUCGGUGACCGUAAUAGGAGC